GUGGGGAAUAUUGCACAAUGGGCGCAAGCCUGAUGCAGCGACGCCGCGUGAGGGAUGAAGGCCUUCGGGUCGUAAACCUCUUUCGGCAGGGACGAAGCGAUCAGUGACGGUACCUGCAGAAGAAGCCCCGGCUAACUACGUGCCAGCAGCCGCGGUAAGACGUAGGGGGCGAGCGUUGUCCGGAUUUAUUGGGCGUAAAGCGCGCGUAGGCGGCUGCGCAAGUCGGUUGUGAAAACCCGGGGCUCAACCCCGGAACUGCAUCCGAUACUGCGUGGCUAGAGGUAGGUAGGGGAGAUCGGAAUUCCUGGUGUAGCGGUGAAAUGCGCAGAUAUCAGGAGGAACACCGGUGGCGAAGGCGGAUCUCUGGGCCUUACCUGACGCUCAGGCGCGAAAGCUAGGGGAGCGAACAGGAUUAGAAACCCGGGUAGUCC
rnacentral:rRNA from 1 species